rnacentral:other from 1 species
CGAUCCCUGCGCCGUGCGUGAUGCCGGGGGAAGCGCUUCAACCUCACCGAGUUUCAGGGAGCCGUGAUCGGGGGUGGUGAGCCAGCCCCUCGGCGAAGGGGACGCCUGAAGCCCUCUACCAAAGCGGCGCCCACCUGGUUGACGCCAGGUUCGAAGCACCGUCGGCACACGGCGGCCGCGGGGAUCCC